UUUGUUGUCAAUAUGAUGGCACUUCAUAAAGAUCACCUUUGUACAAUUUGAUUGGAUGGAACUUGUUGAAGGGCGGGGUCUGUGUGCAUCUUUACUUAUCAGCCCUCAUUCUUCGGUAGGCCCGGCUAAGCUAAUCAGCUAAAGCUAACGGACAUUCCUGAUUGUUUUUCCUGGAUGUUGGAGCUUCAGAAAUGGCUUUUUUUUUUUUUUUUUUUUUUUUUAAAGUUAAACCCCGGUAAAACCUGGCGUGACUUCACGACCAGCUGAACUAAUUAAACAUCAGUUUUAAAGCUGCCACUCCCUCUUGUGCCAAAAGAGACCAGAACCCACCAAGUGGAGGAGUCUUGACAUCCAGCUUUUUCAGCUAAAAGUCCCAGCAGGCCUCUUCUUAAAGUGCUGAGGGGAAGAAAAACAAGUUUAAAGCUUCGGCAGCGAUAAAGAUUCAUCUCAGGUCAAGAGUUUGACGCUCACCCAGAGUCCACUGUGAGGGAAGCGCCUCAAGCUGUGUGUGGGAUGAGUCCCCACGGGUCCCCCUCUGCUCCCAAACACCGCUGAUUAUUGGACUCGCCUUGUCAGUCACAUCAGGGGAAUCUGCAGUACUCAUAUUGACCAGAGAUGUCGCCGUCCUCACCUAAAUGAUACACGCUCUUUGACAUUUUGUUAAUCUUUGACUGUAAGUGAUUCUGAUGUGGACAAAAGCAGCACUUUAGGAUAGUAAUAUUAAGUCCUGUUUGUUCUCUGCAUUUGACCCAUCCCCUGGGGAGUGGUGAGGUGAUGACACAGCUGCGCGCAGGAACCAAUUGGUGGUUUUAACCCCCAAUCCAACCCUUUGAUGCUGAGUGUCAUGCUCCAAUGUUUUAGAGUCUUUGGUAUGUCCUGGAUUUGAACUCAAGACCUUCCAGUGCCAGGGCAGACACUCUACCAGAGGGCCACUGAGCUGGUGUGGACUGCCUACGCAAUCCACGAAAAUCAGGGGUGUCAAACACAAUUGCAACACUUAACAUUCAUAAUGUGUGGAUUUUAUUUGUUUAUUUCGAUCCCCAUUAGCUUCGUCGCUAGUCUUCCUGGGGUCCAUAAGCAUGAAAUGCCCAAAUUUUACAAGUUUCACAUAAACUUUAAAAGGAUUUCACAAUUUUUUUUCUUGUUGUGAAAUCUGUAUCAAUAAAAGUACUGUUUGAUACAGACUGUUAGAAAAGCAGUCAGAAAAUCUGAAGAAGCCAGAAUGAAGACGCGUAGAGAGUGCUAAUGAGUGUUCUGGGUCCAGGCAAGGGUCAGGGCAGGCGGCAACCAACCAGAGUGUAACGAGCUGCAUGAAAUACUCUCUACAGAAAUCAGGGUUUAACUAAUUUCCCUUUUUAAUCAAUAGAAACUAGUCAAACAUUUGAACACCUAUUCUUGAAAUUCCACAAAAUGAGAAAAAGUCUUCUUAUUCUUUUCAGUCUCUUUAGGCUUUUUAGUCGCUUUUCCCAGUAUCCAGACAAAAAUGUCCAUGUCCACAAAAAUAUAGAUCCACCAGGAAACACUAGUCCAAAAAAAAAAAAAAAAAAAAAUGGAAUGAUGUCACCAAAGUGGAUGUUGUUUCCCCCUUAAUCCAGCCUUCGUGGGGAGGUUAUCCUUUUUUAUUUCUUUCUGGUGUCCCUCACAGCGUUCCCCAACCUUUUUCUUAUUCCUUCAUCUGACGCCUCAAACUUUCCCUCUUUUAUUUCCUUGGUGAUGACUCCGCCCACUUCCUCCAGAAUUCACAAAAACCUAACACAAACUUCUACACAAUAUUUAUACAGAAAAAAACACUUUCUAUUUGUGUUAGAGCCAUUUUAUUUUUCAAGCUGUUUUUCAAACUAUUCAUAUCAGUAUUCUAAUUAUUCUUUAUUUAUUUUUUCCUUUGAAUACCUUUGUGGCAGUGCUACGUGAGUUGAAGACGAAGAUGAACCAGAAGAUCAGGUCAGGAGGAGAAUGCUCAGUCAUGCAGGCUGAGUGACACAAACAAGACUUCGCACUGUGCUCUGACUAAACAUAGAGUGAUUGCAGGUGGAAAAACGGCUGUGGGGCUUCUGAGAGUGACAGCAGGGGCUGAUGGGAACUGUAGUUUGGAGACCCAGGAAGUUUUAGAACUCAGCUGAUGGAUGUCGCUGAUGACCAGAGGGGGAAACAGGGGACCGAUUCGUGGCAAAUAGGCUGAGAGCUCACGCAUUUCACGUAAAUCAUCUAAGUGCUUACAUAAUCCAUGUAAAUCAGCCGAUUCAGUCUUGGGCAAUUAUACUCUUUACAAACAUAAAGU